rnacentral:rRNA from 1 species
CCUACGGGAGGCAGCAGUGGGGAAUAUUGGACAAUGGGCGAAAGCCUGAUCCAGCAAUGCCGCGUGAGUGAAGAAGGCCUUCGGGUUGUAAAGCUCUUUUACCCGGGAAGAUAAUGACUGUACCGGGAGAAUAAGCUCCGGCUAACUCCGUGCCCAGCAGCCGCGGUAAUACGGAGGGAGCUAGCGUUGUUCGGAAUUACUGGGCGUAAAGCGUACGUAGGCGGCUUGGUAAGUCAGAGGUGAAAGCCCACGACUCAAUCGUGGAACUGCCUUUGAGACUGCUUCGCUUGAAGAUGGGAGAGGUUAGUGGAAUUCCGAGUGUAGAGGUGAAAUUCGUAGAUAUUCGGAAGAACACCAGUGGCGAAGGCGGCUAACUGGACCAUUCUUGACGCUGAGGUACGAAAGCGUGGGGAGCAAACAGGAUUAGAUACCCUGGUAGUCCACGCCGUAAACGAUGAUAACUAGCUGUCGGGGCUCUUGGAGCUUCGGUGGCGCAGCUACGCAUUAGUUAUCGUCCGUCGGUAGUACGGCCGCGAGUAAACGUACGAAGAAGUAGACGGACGNGUAAGAGUAGUUCGACGACGACGACGAGGGAGGAGG